CCCCGGCGCCUGUUUCCGGGGCUGCGACGCACCCGGGCGUGACCCCGCCGAGGCAACAGUUUGGUAACGUUCACAUUGGUUUGGAGUUGUAAACUCGGUAAUGAUCCUUUCCCUCGGGGACCGCGGAGGGAUCAUUGAACGGAGUUUUCAACUCCCAAACCCAAUGUGAACGUUACCAAACUGUUGCCUUGGCGGGGUCACGCCCCGGGUGCGUCGCAGCCCCGGAACCAGGCGCCCGCCGGAGGAACCAACCAAACUCUUUCUGUAGUCCCCUCGCGGACGUAUUUCUUACAGCUCUGAGCAAAAAUUCAAAAUGAAUCAAAACUUUCAACAACGGAUCUCUUGGUUCUGGCAUCGAUGAAGAACGCAGCGAAAUGCGAUAAGUAAUGUGAAUUGCAGAAUUCAGUGAAUCAUCGAAUCUUUGAACGCACAUUGCGCCCGCCAGUAUUCUGGCGGGCAUGCCUGUCCGAGCGUCAUUUCAACCCUCGAACCCCUCCGGGGGAUCGGCGUUGGGGAUCGGGACCCCUCACACGGGUGCCGGCCCCGAAAUACAGUGGCGGUCUCGCCGCAGCCUCUCCUGCGCAGUAGUUUGCACAACUCGCACCGGGAGCGCGGCGCGUCCACGUCCGUAAAACACCCAACUUUCUGAAAUGUUGACCUCGGAUCAGGUGGGAAUUCCCGCUGAACUUAAGCAUAUCAUAGACGGGAGGGAAAAUUCAUUACCGAGUUUACAACCUCCAAACCCAAUGUGAACGUUUACAAACUGUUGCCUCGGCGGGGGUCAGCCCGGGUGCGUGCACCCCGAACCAGGCGCCCGCCGGAGGAACAACCAAAACUCUUUUCUGGUUGUCCCUCGCGACGUAUUUUCUACAGGCUCUGAGCAAAAAUUCAAAAGAAAUCAAACUUCACACGGAUCUCUGGAUUCUGGCAUCAAUCACAGCAGCAAAUGCAUUAGUAUGUGAAUGCAGAUCAAUUGAAUCAGCGAAUCUUUUAAGCCAUUUUGACCUCAU
rnacentral:rRNA from 1 species